UCACAGCAGGGCACGGAUUGUGGGCAGCCAUCUACUAGACUCAACAGCUGUCGGUCCACCUGUCUCCCCAAAUCCUACUCCUGUACCCCAAACAUCUGGUCUCCCAGAACUUUGGAGAGUCUCCCUUGCUUUGCACCCCCCCCCCCGCCCUGCCUCCACUCACGACACGCAGUGGAGGUGCCCCGCGUGUAAAAGAAGACGUUGGAAGGAGUAGACCCCGUGGAGGACCCCUUGGGCUGGGCACUCAUUCAUUCCCUGAGUGGAAGGCGGCGGAGCAGAGGCCAGCCCGGCGGCGAGGCCGCCCGGAGGCGGACUUGCCAGGCGUUCCAUGUGAAGUUUGAAAAUGAACUGUCAAAUCCGUUCUCUAUAAUAUAAAUUGCUACUGAUUUCAGGAGUGGAAUCUAUCAGCUACCUGAGAUUUUUAUUUAUUUGUCAGAGAGAGCACAAGCAGGGGAGCAGCAGGCAGAGGGAAAACAGUCACCCUGCUGAGCAAGGAGCCUGAUGCAGGACUGGAUCCCAGGACCGUGGGCUCAAGUCCUGAGCCC